AUUGAACGCUGGCGGCAGGCCUAACACAUGCAAGUCGAGCGGAUGACGGGAGCUUGCUCCUUGAUUCAGCGGCGGACGGGUGAGUAAUGCCUAGGAAUCUGCCUGGUAGAGGGGGACAACGUUUCGAAAGGAACGCUAAUACCGCAUACGUCCUACGGGAGAAAGCAGGGGACCUUCGGGCCUUGCGCUAUCAGAUGAGCCUAGGUCGGAUUAGCUAGUUGGUGGGGUAAUGGCUCACCAAGGCGACGACCCGUAACUGGUCUGAGAGGAUGAUCAGUCACACUGGAACUGAGACACGGUCCAGACUCCUACGGGAGGCAGCAGUGGGGAAUAUUGGACAAUGGGCGAAAGCCUGAUCCAGCCAUGCCGCGUGUGUGAAGAAGGUCUUCGGAUUGUAAAGCACUUUAAGUUGGGAGGAAGGGCAGUAAGUUAAUACCUUGCUGUUUUGACGUUACCGACAGAAUAAGCCCCGGCUAACUUCGUGCCAGCCGCCGCCGUAAGAC
rnacentral:rRNA from 1 species